AGAGUUUGAUCCUGGCUCAGAGCGAACGCUGGCGGAAUGCUUAACACAUGCAAGUCGCACGGGGGCUUCGGCCUUAGUGGCGGACGGGUGAGUAACGCGUAGGAAUGUGUCCGAGGAUGGGGGAUAACGUUGGGAAACUGACGCUAAUACCGCAUAUCUCCUGAGGGAGAAAGCCGCGAGGCGUCCACGGAGCAGCCUGCGUACGAUUAGCUUGUUGGUGGGGUAAAGGCUUACCAAGGCGACGAUCGUUAGCUGGUCUGAGAGGAUGAUCAGCCACACUGGAACUGAGACACGGUCCAGACUCCUACGGGAGGCAGCAGUGGGGAAUAUUGGACAAUGGGCGCAAGCCUGAUCCAGCAAUUCCGCGUGGGUGAAGAAGGUCUUCGGAUUGUAAAGCCCUUUCGUUGGGGACGAUGAUGACGGUACCCAAAGAAGAAGCCCCGGCUAACUUCGUGCCAGCAGCCGCGGUAAUACGAAGGGGGCUAGCGUUGCUCGGAAUGACUGGGCGUAAAGGGCGCGUAGGCGGCAUAACUCGUCAGACGUGAAAUUCCUGGG
rnacentral:rRNA from 1 species